rnacentral:rRNA from 1 species
CCUACGGGAGGCAGCAGUGAGGAAUAUUGGUCAAUGGGCGGAAGCCUGAACCAGCCAAGUCGCGUGAGGGAAUAAGGCCCUACGGGUCGUAAACCUCUUUUGCCGGGGAGCAAGGGCGGGGACGUGUCCCGGCCCGGAGAGUACCCGGAGAAAAAGCAUCGGCUAACUCCGUGCCAGCAGCCGCGGUAAUACGUAGGUAGCAAGCGUUGUCCGGAAUUACUGGGUGAAAAGGGAGCGUAGGCGGGAUGGCAAGUUGGGUGUUAAAUCUACCGGCUCAACGGGUAGUCGCACUCAAAACUGCUAUUCUUGAGUGAAGUAGAGGCAGGCGGAAUUCGUAGUGUAGCGGUGAAAUGCGUAGAUAUUAGGAGGAACACCAGUGGCGAAGGCGGCCUGCUGGGCUUUUACUGACGCUGAGGCUCGAAAGUGUGGGGAGCAAACAGGAUUAGAUACCCCUGUAGUC